GUAUGGCCUUGCUGGGGGCUCAGCGCCAAAGCACCGCAGACUCUCACGUUCACUGCUGCUGCUUUGUGCCCGUGGCAGGUUAUGGCUUGCUGCCACGUGCUGCUGGGGGGUCUGAGGAGCCUCUGAAGGGGGGCUGACGACAUGGGAAGGAUUUUUUGAGGCCAUUUCUUCUCCUCCUAGCACUUGCUACUGGGGAAAAGAGACCGGCCCGCACCUGGCUCCAACCGUGUCCUUGUUCUUUUAUGUCUAUUGCCUGAGACUGUGUGAAGGCUUUGGUUGGGGUGGGGCUUAUUUUCUUCAUCGCAGCUGGUGUGGGGCUGUGCUUUGGAUUUGUGCUGGAAAGAAUGUUGAUAAUGCAGGGACAUUUUACUUACUGCUGAGCAGGUUGGCCAGUGGUCUGCUGCUCCAGGACUGGGUUAAUAUCAGUCAGCUGAUGGCUUGUCUUGAUCACAUCUACUGUGGCCUGCUUUAUAUGGCAGCAGGUCAGGAUUGGGAGCCUGGCAAAAUGUGCUGCUCAAGGGAGAGAGGAGAGAUGUGUCAGCCCAGGUGACAGGAUGACCUCACUAAUGAAGAGAUACCUUAUCAGGAGACACAGUUUGACAGGCCUGGAUCUGUGUUGGCCACUAGUGCUGUUCAUCCACAGGAGUCAUCCGCAGGAGUAUUACACCAGAGAGCCUUCUGCUGGGUGUGAGGGGUCAUGUGAAACUGUCUGAUUUUGGGCUAAGCACAGCUGUAAAGGCUCAGAGACCUGAGCUCUACAGGAACCUUGCACACAACCCACCAAGUGAUUUCUGUGAGUACAAGCUGUCCUUGUUCAACACUGAAAUAGUUGAGAGCUGAAGCCAGACCACACCAUAAUUCCCUCAGCUUCCUCUUCUACAGAUUAAACAAUUCCAGUUCCUUCAGCCACUCCUCAUAAGACUUGUUAUCCAGACCCUUCACCAGCUUUGU